AUUCUUGUGCUCGGGCACGUACUGUCGCCAGUGAGGUCUUUACCGAGGCACAGUCUUUUGCUGAUUGCAAAUUACACAUCCGAACACGUCUGUUAGCUUUGGCUUCCAGCAAUUUUUGGAACACCCUUGUAGUCGUCGUAGUAUUCGUGU
rnacentral:snRNA from 1 species